rnacentral:rRNA from 1 species
UGGGGAAUAUUGGACAAUGGGCGCAAGCCUGAUCCAGCCAUGCCGCGUGAGUGAUGAAGGCCCUAGGGUUGUAAAGCUCUUUCACCGGUGAAGAUAAUGACGGUAACCGGAGAAGAAGCCCCGGCUAACUUCGUGCCAGCAGCCGCGGUAAUACGAAGGGGGCUAGCGUUGUUCGGAAUUACUGGGCGUAAAGCGCACGUAGGCGGACAUUUAAGUCAGGGGUGAAAUCCCGGGGCUCAACCCCGGAACUGCCUUUGAUACUGGGUGUCUAGAGUUCGAGAGAGGUGAGUGGAAUUCCGAGUGUAGAGGUGAAAUUCGUAGAUAUUCGGAGGAACACCAGUGGCGAAGGCGGCUCACUGGCUCGAUACUGACGCUGAGGUGCGAAAGCGUGGGGAGCAAAACAGGAUUAGAUACCCUGGUAGUCCACGCCGUAAACGAUGGAAGCCAGCUGUCGGCAAGUUUACUUGUCGGUGGCGCAGCUAACGCAUUAAGCUUCCCGCCUGGGGAGUACGGUCGCAAGAUUAAAAGCUCAAAUGAAUUGACGGGGUCAUAGCUGUUUCCUG